AUGGCAGAUUUCAUGCAUUUAUGUAAUAAAAAAUUGAAUCUGGAGGCUGUAAGUAGCAAAGGUUUCACAAAAUCCCUGUUCUCGUUAAUUAUCUACCAAAUUAACCAAUCAGGGUUGGAAGGAAAAUCUAAAGGAGAGAAGAAGAGUAAUUUCAAAGCCAGAGUACUGAGUCCUUCAUGUUGGGGCUUCCUGUGUCUCCUGGAUCAUUAUCCACUUUUGGCAUUGCCACUCCAAUCACCUGGUAUGGCAGACAAGAUAAUGGCCCCCAAACAUGUCCGCAUGCUGAUCCCCAGAACCUGUACCUGUAAUCACCCAAAGAACUUUGCAGAUGUGAUGAAGUUAAGGAUCUUGAAAUGGGAAGAUUAUACUGGAUUGUCCAGGUGGGUCAAAUGUCCAAGCGGUCAUUAAAAGUGGAAAACCUUCCUAGUAUGGGUCAGACGAGAUGUGACUAUGGGAGAAUGGUCCUCAAGAUGAAACAAGGAUGGUUUUGAAGAUGGAGGGAAGGAGUCGUGAGCCAAAGAAUAAAGCUUGCUUAUAGACUCUGGAAAACGUAAGG
rnacentral:lncRNA from 1 species